UUAUCAUAUGUACCUAUCCUUUCCCUCUUGUCAAUUCUAUCAAUUAUUCUCUAACAAGGACAUGACCUUUGGCAUUUCCUCUUUAGAAUUUACAUAGUUCUCGAGUUUCAUUUCACGUCUAUUUCCUCUGCUAGCAUUUUAUUAUUUUAUUUGAAAUGCUAAACUGCUUAUGCAAUUGGUCAAUUGAAUUUGAUUGUUUUAACGGUCUCACAUCGAAAACAGGCUGACUUGCUUUUGCAUAAGAUGUUAAGGCUUAUGUUGAGUCUUGUGAAAUUAUGCUCUUAUUAUGUCUUAACUUAAAAUUAAAUCUUUGCAAAAAGAUGAAAUUUGGAGAUUUUGUUGUUGGCAUUGGGACUGGGAGGAAGCUUCAGACAAUCAGUGUUGAUAUAUGUAGCUAAAUCCUAAACAUACUAUUCUGAAGAUGUUCUUUCUGUGUAAUCUGGUUAGUUGUGGUGUCUAAACUAAUCAGCCGUCUACUAUUUAAGAUGCCUAGUGCAGCAUUUGUGUAUGGUCCAAUGGUGCUUCAAAGCCAAAGAUGGCUUAUAUAUGUAUGUCAGGCACUUACCUCUUGACAAAGUAAAAAGAUAUUAAUGGAAAUAUAGCAGUGGUGUUCAUAAGUCUCUGUCGUGUCAUCCAUUUUAUUUUUAUUAUUUCCUACUGUUGUGAAAACCCGUUUGUUCUUUUGGGUCGAAUCUUAAUCAGAGGAGCAGGUUAACAUUACUAUCUGCUGUAAGUAAUGCAGUAUGUAGCAGCUAGUCCGUGUGAUCAUCAUAUCUUCUUAAAGCAAACUAAAGGAAGAAGAAAUUUAUAAAAUCUAAGUGGUCAUCUGUCUUGUUGAAGCAAAACGGAAAAAUAAACUUGAAAUGAGUACUAUUACAGUACACUUGAGAAAGAAAAAAGAAUUACAGUAGAAGACAAGCUGGUCUAGCCUCUUAAUAUAGGUUGAAUGUUCCAUGAAUAGGAUAAGCAUGUGUUAUUAACCAAGAACAGCUAUUACUGUUUCGUGUCAUGAUAACCAUAAUUCAUACUUCCUCAUUGCUGUAAUACUGCCCUCUUACCCAAGUUACAUCCAUAGGGCUGUAAUGGAUUUUGCCUAUAAAUCAUAAGGAUUUUGUCUUACUUUUUAAGGAAGUUUUAUCACCUAGUGCAGGAUUAACACCUAGUCUUUGCCUUCAUCUACAAAAUUGUCAAUAGAGCCCACAUGUUUUUUCAAGUUUCCCAGGGGGAACAGGGGGAACUGACUGUGGCGCUAUGGUAGGCUCAACUUUGAUAUGGGCAAAAUAAGCUUCUCAUUCAUUAAACUGUUAAUACCAGAAAACACCAGUCUGUAGUCUUAUUAAGGAAUUAAAAGAAUGGGCCAGAAAGGAUAUUAAUAGUAAAUAGUGAGAAAUGACAUUUCAGUUCAUCUUGUUUAAAUCUUGUGUCAUGGUUUCAUAAUCUUGUAAUAGAAUGAACAAGUUAUUGAGAUAACUGCAUCCACCAUUCUUGGUGAUUAAUCAACAGGCAUUCCGCAGAGAUGCUGUGCCAACUAAUUAAUAUCUGACAAAACAUAAAAGAGAAUUGCAAUGGGGAAGAGGAAAUUAUGAAUAAGCAGAUUCACAUGGUUUAGUGUUAGUCUACUUCAACUAAAUUGAUUGUUUUUGCUCCUUUAUUCUCUAAUCUAACCACUUCUUUUCUGUCCAUUACCACAAGAAUUAGUUUUACAUGGAAAAUUCUGAAUGAACAUGCAGUAAUAUUAUUAGAAAUAAUACCUAUACAUGUAUAUAUAAAGCUAUAACCUUUUUCUUAUUAGUAUGUUUGCGUGCUUAUCCACAUGCGUGCAUAAGCUUGUGCGUGAAAUUGGCUUUGGUUGUUUUGAUUCACCUCCAAUCCUUGGUGCGGUCAAGGAAGAACAUAUGUCAUCCUGUGAAGUCUCAUUCUCUCCUGGAAUAACAACUUUAACCUUGUCCUUUCUACACAAAGUGAAAUGAGA
rnacentral:lncRNA from 1 species